rnacentral:rRNA from 1 species
UACGGAGGGUGCAAGCGUUAUCCGGAUUCACUGGGUUUAAAGGGUGCGUAGGCGGGCAGUUAAGUCAGUGGUGAAAUCCUUGAGCUCAACUCGAGAACUGCCAUUGAUACUAUCUGUCUUGAAUAUUGUGGAGGUAAGCGGAAUAUGUCAUGUAGCGGUGAAAUGCUUAGAUAUGACAUAGAACACCUAUUGCGAAGGCAGCUUACUACGCAUAUAUUGACGCUGAGGCACGAAAGCGUGGGGAUUAAACAGG